rnacentral:rRNA from 1 species
GCGUUGUUCGGAAUGACUGGGCGUAAAGGGCGCGUAGGCGGUUGACCAAGUUGGGGGUGAAAGCCCGGGGCUUAACCUCGGAAUUGCCUCCAAAACUGGUCGGCUUGAGUGUGGAAGAGGGUUGUGGAAUUCCCAGUGUAGAGGUGAAAUUCGUAGAUAUUGGGAAGAACACCAGUGGCGAAGGCGACAACCUGGUCCAUUACUGACGCUGAGGCGCGACAGCGUG